rnacentral:rRNA from 1 species
GUGGAUUAGAUACCCUGGUAGUCCACGCCCUAAACUAUGUCAACUGGUUGUCGGGGAAGUAAUUCCUUGGUAACGAAGCUAACGCGUGAAGUUGACCGCCUGGGGAGUACGGCCGCAAGGCUAAAACUCAAAGGAAUUGACGGGGACCCGCACAAGCGGUGGAUUAUGUGGAUUAAUUCGAUGCAACGCGAAAAACCUUACCUACCCUUGACAUGCUAGGAAGCUCGCAGAGAUGUGAGUGUGCCCGAAAGGGAACCUAGACACAGGUGCUGCACGGCCGUCGCCAGCU